GACAAGAAUUUGUGUGCAAGGCUGUGGCCGUCCAUGACUUUUAGACUGCUCCCAUGAGUCAGUUCAACCAGGACAAGGGACUGAGGGAGUACACACCCUCAUCCGGGUUCUUUCAUUUAGAAGUUAGCCUGAUACCGACACUCACAACAAUCUAGCCAGCAGGCUAACGGCAAAUUAUGAAAAUAUUCGUUAUUUAAAUCGAAGAAAGCCUAAUAUUGACCAAGUGCGGGUCUCAACUGACAAAGACAGGAACUGUGUCCUAUACGUGGGGGAGCAUAUGGAUGUCAAAAGAAAGGCAGCGCCCUGAGAGUUGAUUUGGAUUGCUUUCUACGUUGGGAUAUUCCUGGUUCUGCCAAGAUGAAGGCUGUUGUUCUCUUCGUUUGAUUUUUUUCACAGGUUUGAGGAAGACUGGACAUUUUCACAGUGGGAUGAGGUAGUAGGUUGUAUAGUUUUAGGGUCAUACCCACACUGGGAGAUAACUAUACAGCCUUCUGUCUUUCCCAAAGUGAUGAGCAGGUCAUCGGAGUCACAUCGCAUCACCUAUUCAGAUUCAGAUACGACACAGUAAUGCAACGUCUCGGUUUUCUUCCCUCGGUGUCGUCCUAGGGAUGUGAUACCUGAGGCGUGCGCCAUGGCAGUGUGAGGUAGUAGAUUGUAUAGUUGUGGGGUAGUGAUUUUAUCCUGAGCAGAAGAUAACUAUACACUCUAUUGCCUUCCCUGACGGGCAGCAGAGCAUCUGUUGUGGGGAAAUCAAGAGGUAAGGAAUAAAUUCAUUUUUUUUUUUUUUUUUGUCUUUCAAUCAGUGUUUGGAUCAUUCCCCUAUAGCACUGGAUCAGUCUCAGGCCUCGCGCCCGGUAUUCGAUGAGGUCAUUGUGCUGAGUGCCCCUGUGGCAGGGCUUGUGAUUGGCUGAUCCAGAGGAAAUAUAUGGAGUAAGAUCAUGAUUGUGGCAGCCAUUUUGACAGGCAAAGAAUGUACUCUCAUUUGCCCUUCCUGAUUGCUUUGUGGUGGUAGCAGGGAAUGUCAUGAUGUAUCACUGUACUGUUGUUCUAACAGUAACCUUAUGGGAGAAGACAUUUUUGGUUGUACCAUGUUUGGUUUUAAUAAUUUUUUUGAUAGAGGAAAAUGAACAUUGGAUAUUUUUUUUAACCUUGCUUUAAAAAAGAAAAUCUCUGGCUUGAUGUAAAUCAAUUUGAAUGGGCGUUAUUACUGAUAAACAUCAUUUCAUUUUCUGUGAAUUGCAUUCCAAAAAUCUGUACCUCUUGACCCAAAUAAAAUAUGAAAAUGGAUUUCA